UGCCUGACACAUAGUAAGUACUAUAUAAAUGUUAGCUAUUAUUGUUCGUGUCUUACAUCUAUCAGGUGAAUUAUCUGUCAAAUGAAGAGGCUAUACAAUAAUCAACUAGCACAGAUACGAGGAUUAUAUUUCUUGUUUUUAACUUAACUUAUAACUGCUGUGCUUGAGUUUAGGUUCUCUGUUAAUCAGGGUGUUCCUGCCCCUUGGGUUGCUCAGAACCUUCCUUCUUACAGGAAGAAAGGACUAGAAUUGACAAGGAUAUCAAGGACUUCUUUUUUUUCCCCAAACCACACCACCUCAGUCCAAUGCCCUUGAGAUGGUACAUGUAUACAUGUCCCAGGCCUGAAUUACAAAGAGACAAACCAGAUAACCAGAUUUUCCUUUGGUAAUAAAAGCACAUUUCUUAAUAAAGUAAAUAAAGGCUUCCAGGGUUGCCUUUCCAAUAAACAAGCCUAUUUACCUUCUUCACUUCUUCCUUCCAACUCUUUAUUUGUGAAGAAAAUAUCCCAAAACAAUGGAGUCAUUAUAUAGUAGGUCACCUUAAAUACCUAGUUGAUUUACCAUUACAUAUGCUAACUUAUGAGACCUAAAUACUUACCAGACUUAUACUUCUUCAUGCACUGCAAUCAAACUUGAUUAAUCAAAGCAUUCAAACAACACCCUCUGAAAAGAGACCAUCAUUUCCUUGAGUUUUAGCCAUUCUGAUUGGCUUUUUUCUUACUAACUCCACAAAGUUCCCUCUCUACUCAGCUGGAGGCCAUAGAUCUCCCUCCUUCAACCAAUCAGCAUGACCCUCAAGCCAAUGAGGACUUGAGCAAGAUCACCAUACCUGGAAGGCAAGAGCGAGAUCUAAGCUAGACUUAAGAACAGGCUGCUGGUGGUUAGCGUCUCUGAUUUCAAAAUUCCAUGAGACCUCAAUUUGAGCUAUGGAAGAAUUCUGGCUGCCUUACAACUGUGUCUUGCCCUGGUCUUGAGUGGAACCAUCAUCAUCACGGAACAAAAUAAUCUGCUUCUUGAGAACAAGGACAGUCUACCUUCUUCUAUUCAAGUACUUAGUGCCUUGUACGCAAUCUGGGUAGCUGCUACAAAACAACACAAGUAUUCUCUUGGUGAAAGGGGGAGAAAAGUAGUAAAGAAGAAGCUAUAAACAAACCUGCAAAACCAAUUUUCACAUUGGCAGAGAGGGGGAAAAGAAGAUCAUGAGAACUCCAAAUGGCUAUAUCUUGAAGCAGUGGCAGGACCUUGGCAGUGGAUGACUUGAAAUUAUUAAUGAAAACUUUUAUCACAAAGAUGUGCAUCUUCAAAAACAUGCAUCUUCUGAGAGAGUGAGUGAGAGUGUGUGUGUGUGUAUGUGUGUGUGUGUGUGUGUACAGGCAAAACUCUAAAAGAGCAGUAGACAGUCAUGACUCGAACUGCUGAAGAAUACCAAAACAUUUACUCAUCUUAGAGGCUGGUAGAAGCCAAUACAUAGAAACACUGUUGUCAUUGACUGAUAAAUUUCUGGGAAAUUUUUUAAGUAAAUAGUUUUUCUACUAAGAGAAGAAUUUAGCUAAAAGAACUCUAAACUAAGCUCUUCUGUAGAUAAACUUGGUGUUUUGACUCUUAGGUUACUCCUGCCAUUGCUGCUCAGUUUUUCCUUAAGUUAUUAUUGCUACUUACUAUCAACCACCUGGAGAUUCUCUGAGAAAUUUUGAGCUAAUGUGUGUAAAGUGCAUGGAGCUAUUCAGAAGAAAGAUGCUCUACAAAUAAAAAGUUAAAUUAUUAUUUUCCUACGCUG